AAACUUUCAACAACGGAUCUCUUGGUCUGCAUCGAUGAAGAACGCAGCGAAUGCGAUAAGUAAUGUGAAUUGCAGAAUUCAGUGAAUCAUCGAAUCUUUGAACGCACAUUGCGCCCUCUGGUAUUCCGGAGGGCAUGCCUGUUCGAGCGUCAUU
rnacentral:rRNA from 1 species